rnacentral:rRNA from 1 species
UACGGAGGGUGCAAGCGUUAUCCGGAUUCACUGGGUUUAAAGGGUGCGUAGGUGGGCAGGUAAGUCAGUGGUGAAAUCUCCGAGCUUAACUCGGAAACUGCCGUUGAUACUAUUUGUCUUGAAUAUUGUGGAGGUAAGCGGAAUAUGUCAUGUAGCGGUGAAGUGCUUAGAUAUGACAUAGAACACCAAUUGCGAAGGCAGCUUACUACACAACGAUUGACGCUGAGGCACGAAAGCGUGGGGAUCAAACAGG